rnacentral:misc_RNA from 1 species
GAUGAAGAACGUAGCGAAAUGCGAUACUUGGUGUGAAUUGCAGAAUCCCGUGAACCAUCGAGUCUUUGAACGCAAGUUGCGCCUCAAGCCAUUAGGUUGAGGGCACGUCUGCCUGGGCGUCACAUAUCGUUGCCUGAUGCCAGUUUCCUCGUGAUGGGUGACUGUGCAGGGCGAAUGAUGGCUUCCCGUGAGCAUUGUUGCCUCAUGGUUGGUCGAAAAUUGAGUCCUUGGUAGGGAGCGCCGUGAUAGAUGGUGGUUGAGUGACGAACGAGACCCAAUCAUGUGAGACCCCUACCGAAUUUGGCCUUCAUGACCCACAUGCGUCUUUGGAACGCUCAUGACGAGACCUCAGGUCAGGCGGGGCUACCCGCUGAGUUUAAGCAUAUCAAUAAGCGGAGGA